GUUAGGCUACCCAGUUUUAAUAAGGAAAAGUUUUAUUUCCUUUUCCUUUUCUUUUUCUUUUUCUUUAUUAUUAUUUUUUUCUUCUUAACCUCGCCGCUUCUUCUUCGACGCCGUGCCCGACUUCUCCUCCUUCCCCCGCGCGCCCGACGCCCUCCUCCGAGCCCUAACCGCCGAGCGGUUUCCUACUCUUUCUCUUCCUCCAUUUCCUUCCCGAGCCACUGCCACAGCCGACACCGCACGAAGCAAUGCCGACCCAGCGCCGACGUCACCCUUUUCCGCGUACAAGCCCUCGGCCAAGGAAACCCUAGCGCCGGCAACCAUUCCCCCUCUGCCCUAUCGCCGUCCUCCUUCCUUUUUCUCCGACGUCGACGACGCCGCGGGGCAGAUCACCGGCGAUUUGAGCCCCAAGAAUCACGAAGUUCUUCUCCUCUGAUUGCCACCCAAUCCCAUCCCUUCGGCGAAGCUUCAACUCCUGUGUCCUAGAUCGCCGGAAUCCAGAAGCUUGCGUUGGUCUUCGAUUAGGAGCAGCAAUCCAAGCAUUUGUGUUCCCUUCCAUGCCCUAAUUCCACUGUUGGAUCUACCUCAGUCGGUUGUGCCUCUCGAGUGGCCUGCUCUACGGUAUCACAUUCACCACCAGUCUCUGUUUUGGGUUUCUGCCAGCACAGAAGGAAAGGGGAAUUAGAUAGCAGUGGACGAUUGGCCCGAAGUUGUUGGAUUCCAGCCACCACAUCAUGGAAUAGCUGGUUAUUUUCUUGAUCACCAUUUUGAUUAGAUCAGUGACUUUGACGCGAGACGCAUAUCUUGACUACCAGUUUGGAAUUUUCGAUUUGGAGG